rnacentral:rRNA from 1 species
CAGUCGCCGCGGGAAUACGUAGGGUGCGAGCGUUAAUCGGAAUUACUGGGCGUAAAGCGUGCGCAGGCGGUUCGUUAAGACAGAUGUGAAAUCCCCGGGCUCAACCUGGGACCUGCAUUUGUGACUGUAUAGCUAGAGUACGGUAGAGGGGGAUGGAAUUCCGCGUGUAGCAGUGAAAUGCGUAGAGAUGUGGAAGAACACCGGUGGCGAAGGCGACUCUCUGGUCUGUAACUGACGCUGAGGAGCGAAAGCGUGGGUAGCAAACAGGAUUAGAGACCCCUGUAGUCCCUGUCUCUUAUAA